CGAAAGACGAUAGGAGAUAAUCUAGUCGUCCUUUGAAGCUAAAGCUCCCAUUGCCCUUCAGGUUCCCUAAGUCAUUAGCUGAAGAAGUCCCGUCAAUGGAUAAGAGCAGGUAAAGCCACAAGCAAGCUUUAUCUAAAUAUGCUAACUCCUAGCUUUUGUUCCUAGCCAUUAUUGCCUCCAGGGAAAGACCUAUAGUCACAUAAGCGAAAGAUUCUUCCUCUCAUCUAGUGGAACGGGGCCUUCACCUGUUAUUAUUCUUGAAUAGACUGAUUUCGGAGGGAAUGCUUCAGAGCUAAGAAUAAUUUGUAAGGGAUCGGGCAAAUGAAACAUUACUUCUUUGGGAUCGGAGAUCACCUUGUUACCCC
rnacentral:lncRNA from 1 species